UUCGGUCCGAGAUUGUGAACCACUGGUUCUGGUCUCUUUAGAUCGCUUUCAUCUAACUCAUGAGAAGAGUAAUACCUCUCGCUUCUCGAGAGCAACCCCGAAGUCGGGCAAGAUCACUUUGUACGAAGUUUAAAUAAAUUAGUAUGCACCCAUUCGUCAAACGUAUAACACGCGUUGUGUAUUCGGUCCGGUCCGGUCCGGCAAUAAAGUCUAGUGCCCACAACGCGAGUGUUUUUAUUUCCACCGUUGAAGAAAGGUCGAUGGACGAAGGCAGAGGUCAAGGACCUCUGAAGUGACCCGCGUUUGGACGGACUAGUUUCUACAGUCCACUUUAUAAGGUCCGUGCCAAAACAUGGUCCUUCGAGCCGGAUGAAGACCGGUGGGACUAAACUAAAGUGCAAGUGAAUAUUCUGUUCGCGGAUAAACGGUACCCGCCCGAUAGCGAAAAUUGAAAAUCUAGAGAUAGCAGUGAAAAAGAAAUUUUAUUGUGCGUGAGGGACCGACGUCGUCGACAUUGUCGCCGUUGUUCGAGUGCACCACACCGGUGCUUACACGGAGGGAAGUGUAGCGGCGGAUUUUGGCGGUUUCGUCGGAACAUCAAGGUGGAGAUUGGCCGGCGGCGCGCCACGGAACGUGUCGUCAGGAGAGCUGUACUGCAUGCGGGAGAAAACGGAAUCAUCCCGAUUGCCGUCAGGGAGUAUUUUGCAUGGUUUUUUUGUGGUUGGGUUGCAUGUAAUGGGUUCGAGUUGGGUGAAUAAAUUUGAAACUAUAUGUUGAGCGUUUUCUUCCGGGUAGUGGCCUGGAUUGAGUUGGAUUGCCCUUGGAUAAUAAAGUCUGGUCUUGUCGUUGGUUUUCGAUGCUCGUCGUCAUUCUCCGCUGUAAUCCCAUUCUGUCAAAUUGCUGGUUUUCGGUCGGUCGCGCGGAACGUUUGGAGGAGUAAUUCCGGUAGCAGUGUUCGAGAUUCGCGCAGUCAAGCUGAUUCAGUGAAUGAAAAGUGGUGUGAAGUGAAUCAAUAAACUUAAUUGGCAAAUUUACAGUACUGCUGUUGAGUGAAAGGUGAUUGAUAUGAACACGAACUUCAGUUUGAACUUGUGCUGUGAACAUUAAGUGCCACGAACCAUUAGUGAUCAUCCAACAGUACUGUAAAUUUGUGGGUGAUUUAGAUAACUGUGAAGAUGGUGACCAUGGAGGAGUAUAAGGAGCUGAAGAAGCAAGAAAAGCAGUUAG